GACGAACGCUGGCGGCGUGCUUAACACAUGCAAGUCGAACGGAAAGGCCCUGCUUGCAGGGUACUCGAGUGGCGAACGGGUGAGUAACACGUGGGUGAUCUGCCCUGCACUUCGGGAUAAGCCUGGGAAACUGGGUCUAAUACCGGAUAGGAGCCAUUUUUAUUGUGAUGGUUGGAAAGUUUUUUCGGUGUAGGAUGAGCUCGCGGCCUAUCAGCUUGUUGGUGGGGUAAUGGCCUACCAAGGCGGCGACGGGUAGCCGGCCUGAGAGGGUGGACGGCCACAUUGGGGCUGGGGAACGGCCCAGACUCCUACCGGAGGCAGCAGGGGGGAAUAUUGCACAAUGGGCGCAAGCCUGAUGCAGCGACGCCGCGUGGGGGAUGACGGCCUUCGGGUUGUAAACUCCUUUCGCUAGGGACGAAGCUGUUUGUGACGGUACCUAGAUAAGAAGCACCGGCUAACUACGUG
rnacentral:rRNA from 1 species